UUUCUCCAUCGCCCAGUGGAGAGAGAACAUCAGUAGCAACCGCAGGCUUUCAUUUAUUACUAGACUAUAUAUUAAAAGUAUUUUUAGUGUUAAUUAUAUCGGAACUUUACCGCAUAGCUUCCACUGACUUCUGCACUCCCAGUUCAACUCUGAGGUGCAGGACAGAAGAAGAGGUUCCAGUGAGAUCCUUCUCAUCUGCCCUGAAACUGAUAAAAAAA